UAAAAGGUCGGGAUAGCUCAGU
rnacentral:tRNA from 2 species